CACGCACACACACAGAGUGUUGUCUUUUUCGGUGAGGACACGAAUGCCCAGGUUACAUGUCUCUAAGUAGUGGAGCAAAUUCACGUGUUCCUCUGUAAUUGGGAAAUUGCCCUGCCAAGGACGACCUCCUCUCUAACGCCGCUAAUUGGUGACAGCACUUCGGGUUCCAGAAGCUGGGGAUCACGAGGAAGAUGGACCAUUCAGCCAUUUUUCAGUUCAAAGUCCUCCUCUCCUUGUCCUUGCAAAGCUUGAUAUUGGCAUGGUUUGUCAUGCCAGAUGAAGGACGCCUUGGCAACCAAUCUGCUUUCCCAUUCCUGUCUUGUUCUUACUUCCAUGUUUGAGGAGUACUGCACAAAUGGGGGAUGGUUGGUUGUAAAUGUGUCUCACAGCCAACAUAACAAAUAAUGUUGUUUAGGUAUGUGAAUUUGUGAUUAGCAUACAUUUCAUCUAAAGAGUAAUCUUGCAUCAAUGUUAUAAAAUUAAAGUAAAUUUCUAUCUUUUA